rnacentral:rRNA from 1 species
UAGGCGUAAAUGAUGCGAGUUAAGUGUGGGGGCACUCUACGAGAUGGCCCUGUGCUGUAGGGUAGCCGUUAAACUCGCUGCCUGGGGAGUACGGUCGCAAGGCUGAACUUAAGGAUUGGCGGGGGAGCACCACAAGAGGUGGAGGCUGCGGUUCAAUUGGACUCAACGCCGGAAACUCAUCGGGAGCGACAGCAGUAUGAUUGCCAGGUUGAUGACCUUGCUUGACAAGCUGAGAGGAGGUGCAUGGCGUAGUCGUGU